AGUGAACGCUGGCGGUAGGCCUAACACAUGCAAGUCGAACGGCAGCACAGUAAGAGCUUGCUCUUACGGGUGGCGAGUGGCGGACGGGUGAGGAAUACAUCGGAAUCUACUUUUUCGUGGGGGAUAACGUAGGGAAACUUACGCUAAUACCGCAUACGACCUACGGGUGAAAGCAGGGGAUCUUCGGACCUUGCGCGAUUGAAUGAGCCGAUGUCGGAUUAGCUAGUUGGCGGGGUAAAGGCCCUCCAAGGCGACGAUCCGUAGCUGGUCUGAGAGGAUGAUCAGCCACACUGGAACUGAGACACGGUCCAGACUCCUACGGGAGGCAGCAGUGGGGAAUAUUGGACAAAGGGCGAAAGCCUGAUCCAGCCAUACCGCGUGGGUGAAGAAGGCCUUCGGGUUGUAAAGCCCUUUUGUUGGGAAAGAAAAGCAGCAGGUUAAUACCCCGCUGUUCUGACGGUACCCAAAGAAUAAGCACCGGCUAACUUCGUG
rnacentral:rRNA from 1 species